rnacentral:rRNA from 1 species
AUGGGAACGCGAAGAACCUUACCUACUCUUGACAUCCAGAGAACUUUCCAGAGAUGGAUUGGUGCCUUCGGGAACUCUGAGACAGGUGCUGCAUGGCUGUCGUCAGCUCGUGUUGUGAAAUGUUGGGUUAAGUCCCGCAACGAGCGCAACCCUUAUCCUUUGUUGCCAGCGGUUCGGCCGGGAACUCAAAGGAGACUGCCAGUGAUAAACUGGAGGAAGGUGGGGAUGACGUCAAGUCAUCAUGGCCCUUACGAGUAGGGCUACACACGUGCUACAAUGGCGCAUACAAAGAGAAGCGACCUCGCGAGAGCAAGCGGACCUCAUAAAGUGCGUCGUAGUCCGGAUUGGAGUCUGCAACUCGACUCCAUGAAGUCGGAAUCGCUAGUAAUCGUAGAUCAGAAUGCUACGGUGAAUACGUUCCCGGGUCUUGUACACACCG